GACGAACGCUGGCGGCAGGCCUAACACAUGCAAGUCGAGCGGAGCGGCGGACGGGCGAGUAAUUCCUAGGAAUCUGCCUGGUAGUGGGGGAUAAAGUCCGGAAACGGGCGCUAAUACCGCAUACUAUCAGAUGAGCCUAGGUGGGAUUAGCUAGUUGGUGGGGUAAAGGCCUACCAAGGCGACGAUCCGUAACUGGUCUGAGAGGAUGAUCAGUCACACUGGAACUGAGACACGGUCCAGACGCCUACGGGAGGCAGCAGUGGGGAAUAUUGGACAAUGGGCGAAAGCCUGAUCCAGCCAUGCCGCGUGUGUGAAGAAGGUCUUCGGAUUGUAAAGCACUUUAAGUUGGGAGGCGUUACCAACAGAAGAAGCACCGGCUAACUUCGUGCCAGCAGCCGCGGUAAUAC
rnacentral:rRNA from 1 species